rnacentral:rRNA from 1 species
CAGUUCGGAUUGCAGGCUGCAACCCGCCUGUAUGAAGUUGGAAUCGCUAGUAAUCGCGGAUCAGCAUGCCGCGGUGAAUACGUUCCCGGGCCUUGUACACACCGCCCGUCACACCAUGAGAGUCGGGAACACCCGAAGUCCGUAGUCUAACUUUCACGAGAGGACGCGGCCGAAGGUGGGUUCGAUAAUUGGGGUGAAGUCGUAACAAGGUAGC